rnacentral:rRNA from 1 species
UACGAAGGGGGCUAGCGUUGCUCGGAAUCACUGGGCGUAAAGGGUGCGUAGGCGGGUCUUUAAGUCAGGGGUGAAAUCCUGGAGCUCAACUCCAGAACUGCCUUUGAUACUGAAGUAUCUUGAGUCCGGGAGAGGUGAGUGGAACUGCGAGUGUAGAGGUGAAAUUCGUAGAUAUUCGCAAGAACACCAGUGGCGAAGGCGGCUCACUGGCCCGGUACUGACGCUGAGGCACGGAAAAGCGUGGGGGAGCC